UGCCCCAGGGAGAUCGGGGAGACACUCGUUCCAACGCUGGGUCCCUUGAUUCCUCGCACCUUUUCCUUGGCUCGCAGCUCGUCGAAGAGACCCUGGAUCUCGCGCUUCCAGCCUUCCUGCAUGGAAUGGAAGGAGUCCCGCGGCAUUUCCCGUAGGACCUGUGCCUCCAGCGCCUCCAACUGCUGCAGGAUGGAGGCGAAGUCGGGCCUUGAUAACCUCAGGAGCCAUCCAGGCGUAGGUGCCCGCGGCACUCAUUUGUGUGGUUUUGUGCCACUCUCGGGCCAGGCCAAAGUCGGUGAUCUUCAGGGUCUUGUGCUCCAUGUCGUCACUCUCAAUGGGCUGCAGCAGCAAAACUAGAGAAGAGGGGCCAGAUUGUGGAUGCUCCAGGAUCAGGUGGUGGGGACAGGGUAAGAGCUGGGAGCAAACUCAUCUGACGGACAUCCUGGCUGGGUCCUGGGGGCACAGAGGUGACUUGGUCUAGAUCUUGAGGACCUACUUGAGGUCAGACAUUUCUUUUCUUUUCCUUUUUUUUUUUUCUUAAGAUAGAGUUUUGCUCUUGUUGCCCAGGCUGGAGUGCAAUGGCGUGAUCUUGGCUCACUGCAACCUCCACCUCCUGGGUUCAAGCGAUUGUCC
rnacentral:lncRNA from 10 species